rnacentral:rRNA from 1 species
GAGUUUGAUCCUGGCUCAGGAUCAACGCUGCGGCGUGCCUUAUACAUGCAAGUCGUACGCGAAAGCGGCCUUCGGGCCGCGAGUAGAGUGGCAAACGGGUGAGUAUCGCGUGGGUGACCUGCCUUCGAGUGGGGGAUAACCUUCCGAAAGGGGGGCUAAUACCGCAUAACAUCCCGCCCUUGGAUGGGUGGUGAUCAAAGUCGGGGAUCUUCGGACCUGGCGCUUGAAGAGGGACCCGCGUCCGAUUAGCUUGUUGGUGGGGUAGCGGCCUACCAAGGCGACGAUCGGUAGCCGCCUGAGAGGGCGGACGGCCACACUGGGACUGAGACACGGCCCAGACUUCUACGGGAGGCAGCAGUAAGGAAUUGUUCGCAAUGGGCGCAAGCCUGACGACGCAACGCCGCGUGGAGGACGAAGAUCUUCGGGUUGUAAACUCCUGUCAAGCGGGAAGAACAGCGUGCGGGUUAAUACCCCGUGCGCCUGACGGUACCGCUGAAGGAAGCCCCGGCUAACUCCGUGCCAGCAGCCGCGGUAAUAC